rnacentral:rRNA from 1 species
AACGAACGCUGGCGGCAUGCCUAACACAUGCAAGUCGAACGAAGCCUUCGGGCUUAGUGGCGCACGGGUGCGUAACGCGUGGGAACCUGCCUUUAGGUUCGGAAUAACACAGAGAAAUUUGUGCUAAUACCGGAUGAUGUCUUCGGACCAAAGAUUUAUCGCCUUUAGAUGGGCCCGCGUUGGAUUAGCUAGUUGGUAGGGUAAAGGCCUACCAAGGCGACGAUCCAUAGCUGGUCUGAGAGGAUGAUCAGCCACACUGGGACUGAGACACGGCCCAGACUCCUACGGGAGGCAGCAGUGGGGAAUAUUGGACAAUGGGCGAAAGCCUGAUCCAGCAAUGCCGCGUGAGUGAUGAAGGCCUUAGGGUUGUAAAGCUCUUUUACCAGGGAUGAUAAUGACAGUACCUGGAGAAUAAGCUCCGGCUAACUCCGUG